GAGACAGCAGUCGCCGCGGUAAUACAGAGGGUGCGAGCGUUAAUCGGAUUUACUGGGCGUAAAGCGUGCGUAGGCGGCUUUUUAAGUCGGAUGUGAAAUCCCUGAGCUUAACUUAGGAAUUGCAUUCGAUACUGGGAAGCUAGAGUAUGGGAGAGGAUGGUAGAAUUCCAGGUGUAGCGGUGAAAUGCGUAGAGAUCUGGAGGAAUACCGAUGGCGAAGGCAGCCAUCUGGCCUAAUACUGACGCUGAGGUACGAAAGCAUGGGGAGCAAACAGGAUUAGAUACCCCAGUAGUCCCUGUCUCUUAUAA
rnacentral:rRNA from 1 species